rnacentral:rRNA from 1 species
GUCUACGGCCAUACCACUCUGAACACGCCCAAUCUCAUCUGAUCAUAUAAGCUAAGCAGGGUCAGGCCUAGUUAGUACCUGGAUGGGAGAAGAUUGCAUAGUGUGAAGAUGUCAGUA